rnacentral:rRNA from 1 species
CCUANGGGUGGCAGCAGUGGGGAAUUUUGCGCAAUGGGCGAAAGCCUGACGCAGCGACGCCGCGUGAGGGAUGAAGGUUCUCGGAUCGUAAACCUCUGUCAGGAAGGAUUAAAGGUAUGGAUGUGAAUAUCAUCCAUACUUGACUUAACUUCCAAAGGAAGCCCCGGCUAACUACGUGCCAGCAGCCGCGGUAAUACGUAGGGGGCAAGCGUUACUCGGAUUUACUGGGCGUAAAGAGAAUUAAGGCGGUCAUGUAAGUCAGUGGUGAAAUCCCUCGGCUCAACUGAGGAAUUGCCUUUGAUACUGCGUGACUUGAGGACAGGAGAGGAAGGCGGAAUUCCCGGUGUAGCGGUGGAAUGCGUAGAUAUCGGGAGGAACACCUGAGGCGAAGGCGGCUUUCUGGACUGGUCCUGACGCUGAUAUUCGAAAGCUAGGGGAGCAAACAGGAUUAGAUACCCUANUANUC